rnacentral:rRNA from 1 species
CCUACGGGUGGCAGCAGUGAGGAAUAUUGGUCAAUGGCCGGAAGACUGAACCAGCCAAGCCGCGUGAAGGACGAAGGUGCCAAGCAUCGUAAACUUCUUUUGUCAAGGGACAAACUCAGGCUCGCGAGCCCGCCCGAGUGUACUUGAAGAAAAAGCAUCGGCUAACUCCGUGCCAGCAGCCGCGGUAAUACGGAGGAUGCGAGCGUUAUCCGGAUUUAUUGGGUUUAAAGGGUGCGUAGGCGGACUGUUAAGUCAGCGGUCAAAGCCCGGGGCUCAACCCCGGCGAGCCGUUGAAACUGGCAGUCUGGAGAUGGAGAGAGGUAUGCGGAAUGCGCGGUGUAGCGGUGAAAUGCUUAGAUAUUGCGCAGAACUCCGAUUGCGAAGGCAGCAUACCGGCGGCGAUCUGACGCUGAGGCACGAAAGCGUGGGUAUCGAACAGGAUUAGAUACCCCUGUAGUC